CCACCCAUCAGGGGAUUCCCGCUUCCCCGCGUCCCCAGAGGAAGCGAGAUGCUCCAGGCUUCUUCAGCGUGGCGCGAGAAGGCAGAGGGACGAGGGCCCCUGCUCCGUGCGGCCUCCGGGGGCUGGGAGGCGGGGAGGAGGGCGGGCCGGCGCGGGGGAGGGGCCGCCGCCACUAUAAAGGCCCGGCCCGCGGCCCAGCUCCAGCCCGGGACGCACACGUGCGCGCGGCGCCGCAGCCGCCACCGCGGGCCACCGAGACCCGCGCCUCCCCGGCCCCCCGGGCGGCCGCGCGGCUGGCGGCAUGCGCUGCGCAAGGCGGAGCUGACGGCGCGCCCGCCGGCCCCAUGUCCUUCGCCAUGCUGCGCUCGGCGCCGCCCGGCCGCUACCUGUACCCCGAGGUGAGCCCGCUGUCGGAGGACGAGGACCGUGGCAGCGAGAGCUCGGGCUCCGACGAGAAGCCCUGCCGCGUGCACGCGGCGCGCUGCGGCCUCCAGGGCACCCGGAGGCGGGCCGGGGGCAGGCGGGCGGGGGGCGGCGCCCCGGGGCCCGGGGGGCGGCCGGGCCGCGAGCCCCGGCAGCGGCACACAGCGAACGCGCGCGAGCGGGACCGCACCAACAGCGUGAACACGGCCUUCACGGCUCUGCGCACGCUCAUCCCCACGGAGCCGGCCGACCGCAAGCUCUCCAAGAUCGAGACGCUGCGCCUGGCCUCCAGCUACAUCUCGCACCUGGGCAACGUGCUGCUGGUGGGCGAGGCCUGCGGCGACGGGCAGCCGUGCCACUCGGGGCCUGCCUUCUUCCACGCUGCGCGCCCCGGCAGCCCCCCGCCGCCGCCCCCACCACCCCCCACGCGCGACGGCGAGAACGCCCAGCCCAAACAGAUCUGUACCUUCUGCCUCAGCAACCAGAGAAAGUUGACGGCACGCGUGAGCUCCUGGGGCCUGAACAUCUGGGAAACUUAAUUUUACAGUUUCGGCUGUGCAGCACCGUGCUCUCUUCCCCAAAGUGCACGGGGACGCCGGGAGCAAGGACCGAGACAGAAAGACUACGAUUCGGAGUUAGAGGCGACGCCGCUGGGCUCUCCACAGAGAGCCCCCCCCCCUCCGUGGACCCGACUCAGGCACAGGCCUCCUGUGAGGGCGCCUCAGGCUCCUCUGGGGCCAAUGGACGGACAAGCGGCGGCAGGACUCUGCACUGGCCCAGCUGGCCCAGGUCCACUGGAACCUUCUGUGCUGGCUUCCUACCUGGGUUUUCUUCUGGUCACUACGUGCUGGUAUUUUGUGUCUUUGAUAUGAUAAUAUAAAGUCUGGAAACUUUGUAUAAUUAAAAACAAAACAAUAUCGUCCAA